rnacentral:rRNA from 1 species
UAGGGAAUCUUCCACAAUGGACGCAAGUCUGAUGGAGCAACGCCGCGUGAGUGAAGAAGGUUUUCGGACCGUAAAGCUCUGUUGUUGGUGAAGAAGGAUAGAGGUAGUAACUGGCCUUUAUUUGACGGUAAUCAACCAGAAAGUCACGGCUAACUACGUGCCAGCAGCCGCGGUAAUACGUAGGUGGCAAGCGUUGUCCGGAUUUAUUGGGCGUAAAAGCGAGCGCAGGCGGAAGAAUAAGUCUGAUGUGAAAGCCCUCGGCUUAACCGAGGAAUUGCAUCGGAAACUGUUUUCUUGAGUGCAGAAGAGGAGAGUAGAACUCCAUGUGUAGCGGUGGAAUGCGUAGAUAUAUGGAAGAAUACCAGUGGCGAAGGCGGCUCUCUGGUCUGCAAACUGACGCUGAGGCUCGAAAAGCAUGGGUAGCGAACAGGAUUAGAUACCCUGGUAGUCCAUGCCGUAAAACGAUGAGUGCUAAGUGUUGGGAGGCUUCCGCCUCUCAGUGCUGCAGCUAACGCAUUAAGCACUCCGCCUGGGGAGUACGACCGCAAGGUUGAAAC